GAUCCAGACUCCUACGGGAGGCAGCAGUGGGGAAUAUUGCACAAUGGGGGGAACCCUGAUGCAGCGACGCCGCGUGGGUGAAGGAGCACCUCGGUGCGUAAAGCCCUAUCGGCAGGGAAGAAACAGACGGUACCUGACUAAGAAGCCCCGACUAACUACGUGCCAGCAGCCGCGGUAAUACGUAGGUGGCAAGCGUUGUCCGGAAUUACUGGGUGUAAAGGGAGCGCAGGCGGGAAGCCAAGUCAGCUGUGAAAACUACGGGCUUAACUUGUAGACUGCAGUUGAAACUGGUUUUCUUGAGUGAAGUAGAGGUUGGCGGAAUUCCGAGUGUAGCGGUGAAAUGCGUAGAUAUUCGGAGGAACACCGGUGGCGAAGGCGGCCAACUGGGCUUUAACUGACGCUGAGGCUCGAAAGUGUGGGGAGCAAACAGGAUUAGAUACCCCGGUAC
rnacentral:rRNA from 1 species